rnacentral:rRNA from 1 species
UAUAGAGGUCUCAAGCGUUGUUCGGAUUCAUUGGGCGUAAAGGGUGCGUAGGUGGCGCUGUAAGUCGGGUGUGAAAUUUCGGAGCUUAACUCCGAAACUGCAUUCGAUACUGCGGUGCUUGAGGACUGGAGAGGAGACUGGAAUUCAUGGUGUAGCAGUGAAAUGCGUAGAGAUCAUGAGGAACACCGGUGGCGAAGGCGGGUCUCUGGGCCGAAAUUGACGCUGAGGAGCGAAAGCGUGGGGAGCAAACAGG